GGGGUUGUGACUCAGUGGUAGAGUGCUCACCUAACAUGUGUGAGGCCCUAGGUUCAAUCUUCAGCACCA
rnacentral:tRNA from 1 species